ensembl:snRNA U5 U5 spliceosomal RNA
CAACUCGGAUCUCUCUUCAUCUCGUAUAAAUCUUUUGCUUUUUACUAAAGAUUUCCAUGAAGUGGGAUUGUGAUGACUUCACAGUACUUUUGGAGUAUACAAAGAAGUACAU